UGGGGAAGAGGAUGUCCAGCAGUCAGUUCAUCGCCAACCUAGAGGGUCUCAACGAUGGAAAAGAUUUCCCCAAAGAUCUGCUGAAGACUCUCUACAGCUCCAUCAAGAACGAGAAGCUUCAGUGGACCAUUGACGAGGAGGACCUGAGGCAGUCUCUGUCGGAGCUGACGGAGGUGCGAACAGACUCCGCCUCCCACACCAUGCGGCGCCUGGGG